rnacentral:rRNA from 1 species
UGCAGUCGAACGAGUUCUGAUUAUUGAAAGGUGCUUGCAUCUUGAUUUAAUUUUGAACGAGUGGCGGACGGGUGAGUAACACGUGGGUAACCUGCCCUUAAGUGGGGGAUAACAUUUGGAAACAGAUGCUAAUACCGCAUAAAUCCAANAACCGCAUGGUUCUUGGCUGAAAGAUGGCGUAAGCUAUCGCUUUUGGAUGGACCCGCGGCGUAUUAGCUAGUUGGUGAGGUAACGGCUCACCAAGGCAAUGAUACGUAGCCGAACUGAGAGGUUGAUCGGCCACAUUGGGACUGAGACACGGCCCAAACUCCUACGGGAGGCAGCAGUAGGGAAUCUUCCACAAUGGACGCAAGUCUGAUGGAGCAACGCCGCGUGAGUGAAGAAGGCUUUCGGGUCGUAAAACUCUGUUGUUGGAGAAGAAUGGUCGGCAGAGUAACUGUUGUCGGCGUGACGGUAUCCAACCAGAAAGCCACGGCUAACUACGUGCCAGCAGCCGCGGUAAUACGUAGGUGGCAAGCGUUAUCCGGAUUUAUUGGGCGUAAAGCGAGCGCAGGCGGUUUUUUAAGUCUGAUGUGAAAGCCCUCGGCUUAACCGAGGAAGUGCAUCGGAAACUGGGAAACUUGAGUGCAGAAGAGGACAGUGGAACUCCAUGUGUAGCGGUGAAAUGCGUAGAUAUAUGGAAGAACACCAGUGGCGAAGGCGGCUGUCUGGUCUGUAACUGACGCUGAGGCUCGAAAGCAUGGGUAGCGAACAGGAUUAGAUACCCUGGUAGUCCAUGCCGUAAACGAUGAAUGCUAGGUGUUGGAGGGUUUCCGCCCUUCAGUGCCGCAGCUAACGCAUUAAGCAUUCCGCCUGGGGAGUACGACCGCAAGGUUGAAACUCAAAGGAAUUGACGGGGGCCCGCACAAGCGGUGGAGCAUGUGGUUUAAUUCGAAGCAACGCGAAGAACCUUACCAGGUCUUGACAUCUUUUGAUCACCUGAGAGAUCAGGUUUCCCCUUCGGGGGCAAAAUGACAGGUGGUGCAUGGUUGUCGUCAGCUCGUGUCGUGAGAUGUUGGGUUAAGUCCCGCAACGAGCGCAACCCUUAUGACUAGUUGCCAGCAUUUAGUUGGGCACUCUAGUAAGACUGCCGGUGACAAACCGGAGGAAGGUGGGGAUGACGUCAAAUCAUCAUGCCCCUUAUGACCUGGGCUACACACGUGCUACAAUGGAUGGUACAACGAGUUGCGAGACCGCGAGGUCAAGCUAAUCUCUUAAAGCCAUUCUCAGUUCGGACUGUAGGCUGCAACUCGCCUACACGAAGUCGGAAUCGCUAGUAAUCGCGGAUCAGCACGCCGCGGUGAAUACGUUCCCGGGCCUUGUACACACCGCCCGUCACACCAUGAGAGUUUGUAACACCCGAAGCCGGUGGCGUAACCCUUUUAGGGAGCGAGCCGUCUAAG